rfam:Ornithorhynchus anatinus chromosome 7, whole genome shotgun sequence.
AGCAGCGUGGCUCAGUGGAAAGAGCACGGGCUUGGGAGCCAGCGGUCAUGGGUUCGAAUCCCAGCUCUGCCA